GGGUUGCGCAGAGCCCGGCUGCCGCCUUCUUGCUUGACGCCGGUCAGGUGUGUGGCUUCAGCUCUGAGCUCUUCCGCCUGCCGUGGGAAAGGACAAGGAAGGAGGAGCUGCACUCAUCUGCUGUAGCAUGUGUGGAAUACAGUGUGAGAUGCUGCUGCUGUGGUUUGCUGCUACCAGGUGCUGGGUACCAUUUCAUGACCAGUGCUUCAGGCAGGCUCAGCCUCUGUGAACUCCUCAGCUGUGCUGCGUUUCUGGUUUUCCAGGAAAAAUGCUGCUGUUAAGGGACAUUACGUUGUUUUGGCACAACCAACUUUUUCCUGUGGAAAAAAAAAAUAUUGCAGAAACCACUUUUCUACUAAAAAACAUGGACAGAAAUCCCUGGAUCAGCAGUAAAGAGAAGAUGUCAAACCAGAACCAAGCACAUUUGAAAAUAUUCUCCCCAGAGAACAUUAAGAAUACUCCAACCUGGCAGUGAGAAUUUUAUAUCAUCUCCAUAUUUUACACUAGUAUAAAGGGCAUGCAAGAGCGUGCAGGCGG
rnacentral:lncRNA from 1 species